UCGAAUUUUUUUUUAGGGAUUCAUUGUUACCGUUCUUUGUCUCUUCCACUUCUCCUUCUCCUUCUCCGUUAAUCUUUGACUCCAGAGACAAUGGAUGCUUCUCCAACUUUUAGCCUCCCCUAUCAUUCAACGGGUUUCUCUUAAUUUUUCGCAAAAAGUAAUUAUCUCAAAGCGAAAGGCAGAGAGAAAACGUUAAGGGCAGAGCCCGACCCUUCUUCUUCUUCGUGAAAAAGCUUCUGAAGCCCAGAAAAAGGAAGCAGUUUUAUAUUAACUCUCCUAGAUUUUUCAUCAAGUAAUUGACCCUAAAGCGAGCUUCUUUCACGUCUUCCCUUUUCAUCAUAUCAUCGUUCCAACUCCAUAUCUAUCACCCUCCCCCACUCUCUGUUCAUCUCAAAGACCGAAAACGCUCUUGAUGCUGCAGAGGGUAUUAGCCGUGAAGCUGAACGCCGAGGUUGUCCUGCGUCUAUCGUCUCCAAUGACGAAUUCGACUCGAGAACGCUAUUAUUUUUGUUGUAUCCACUACAGGGCAAGGAGACUCUCCAGAUUCUUUUAAGGAAUUUUGGAGGUUUCUUCUUCAAAGAAACUUGGGAAACUCUUAGUUGCAACGAGUUCGCUUUGCAGUGUUUGGGCUAGGUGAUUCAGGUUACCAGAAGUACAUUGUAAGUGCAUCUGCCACAUUGUGUAAUCUGUUUCACGUUCUUCUCAACAUACAUUUUAUUUCUGGUUCUGUUUUGGUGUAUUCAUCAAUAUGAAGGAAAAAAGUAGGCUUUACCGAGUAAUAAGUAUACUAGCUAACUAAAGAUUCCCACAACCAGAAAUCUUGAGAUGUGUCUGAAUUAUUGUUCCCUCCAAGAGAAGAUUUCUCAGAUGGUUCAGAUCGAACGCAGCGGCGCCACAACUGAUGUCAUGAAGAACUACUUCAUUGGGAGUGUGUUGAGCGGUGGAGGAAGUGUGCCAUCACCAAAGGCCACACCUGAAGCUUGGGUGAACAUGGUCAACGAGAUUCAGAAGGCUGCUCUUUCCACCCGCCUUGGGAUCCCCAUGAUCUAUGGGAUUGAUGCUGUCCACGGUCACAACAACAUGAAUGGCGCCACCAUUUUCCUUCACAAUGUGGGCCUUGGAGUCACCAGGCAAGUCUUUUAACUGUUCUAAUCUUCAUGACUAAAAUUUUGUAAGGCUAUUAACGUGAGACCAGCUUUAAUAUUU